CCUACGGGUGGCAGCAGUGAGGAAUAUUGGUCAAUGGCCGGAAGGCUGAACCAGCCAAGUCGCGUGAGGGAAUAAGGCCCUAUGGGUCGUAAACCUCUUUUGUCAGGGAGCAAAGGCGUCCACGAGCGGACGAAAGGAGAGUACCUGAAGAAAAAGCAUCGGCUAACUCCGUGCCAGCAGCCGCGGUAAUACGGAGGAUGCGAGCGUUAUCCGGUUUUAUUGGGUUUAAGGGGUGCGCAGCGGGUCUGUUAAGUCAGCGGUCAAAUCCGGGGGCUCAACCCCGCACCGCCGUUGAAACUGGCAGUCUCGAGUUGGAGAGAAGUAGGCGGAAUGCGCGGUGUAGCGGUGAAAUGCAUAGAGAUCGCGCAGAACUCCGAUUGCGAAGGCAGCAUGCCGGCUCCACACUGACGCUGAGGCACGAAAGCGUGGGUAUCGAACAGGAUUAGAUACCCGGGUAGUC
rnacentral:rRNA from 1 species